GGCGGACGGGUGAGUAACACGUGGGUAACCUACCCAUCAGAGGGGGAUAACACUUGGAAACAGGUGCUAAUACCGCAUAACAGUUUAUGCCGCAUGGCAUAAGAGUGAAAGGCGCUUUCGGGUGUCGCUGAUGGAUGGACCCGCGGUGCAUUAGCUAGUUGGUGAGGUAACGGCUCACCAAGGCCACGAUGCAUAGCCGACCUGAGAGGGUGAUCGGCCACACUGGGACUGAGACACGGCCCAGACUCCUACGGGAGGCAGCAGUAGGGAAUCUUCGGCAAUGGACGAAAGUCUGACCGAGCAACGCCGCGUGAGUGAAGAAGGUUUUCGGAUCGUAAAACUCUGUUGUUAGAGAAGAACAAGGACGUUAGUAACUGAACGUCCCCUGACGGUAUCUAACCAGAAAGCCACGGCUAACUACGUGCCAGCAGCCGCGGUAAUACGUAGGUGGCAAGCGUUGUCCGGAUUUAUUGGGCGUAAAGCGAGCGCAGGCGGUUUCUUAAGUCUGAUGUGAAAGCCCCCGGCUCAACCGGGGAGGGUCAUUGGAAACUGGGAGACUUGAGUGCAGAAGAGGAGAGUGGAAUUCCAUGUGUAGCGGUGAAAUGCGUAUAUAUAUGGAGGAACACCAGUGGCGAAGGCGGCUCUCUGGUCUGUAACUGACGCUGAGGCUCGAAAGCGUGGGGAGCAAACAAGAUUAGAUACCCUGGUAGUCCACGCCGUAAACGAUGAGUGCUAAGUGUUGGAGGGUUUCCGCCCUUCAGUGCUGCAGCAAACGCAUUAAGCACUCCGCCCGGGGGAGUACGACCGCAAGGUUGAAACUCAAAGGAAUUGACGGGGGGCCCGCACAAGCGGUGGGAGCAUGUGGUUUUAUUUUGAAGCAACGCGAAGAACCUUACCAGGUCUUGACA
rnacentral:rRNA from 1 species